UGCGUAGGGCGCAAGCGUUAUCCGGAAUUAUUGGGCGUAAAGAGCUCGUAGGCGGCCUGUCGCGUCUGCUGUGAAAUCCCGGGGCUUAACCCCGGGCGUGCAGUGGAUACGGGCUGGCUGGAGGCAGGCAGGGGAGAACGGAAUUCCUGGUGUAGCGGUGAAAUGACGCAGAUAUCAGGAGGAACACCGGUGGCGAAGGCGGUUCUCUGGGCAUGAUCUGACGCUGAGGAGCGAAAGUGUGGGGAGCGAACAGG
rnacentral:rRNA from 1 species